ACGAACGCUGGCGGCGUGCUUAACACAUGCCAGUCGAACGGAAAGGCCCUGCUUUUGUGGGGUGCUCGAGUGGCGAACGGGUGAGUAACACGUGAGUAACCUGCCCUUGACUUUGGGAUAACUUCAGGAAACUGGGGCUAAUACCGGAUAAUAUAUUGAACCGCAUGGUUCAAUAGUGAAAGACGGUUUUGCUGUCACUUAUAGAUGGAUCCGCGCCGCAUUAGCUAGUUGGUAAGGUAACGGCUUACCAAGGCGACGAUGCGUAGCCGACCUGAGAGGGUGAUCGGCCACACUGGAACUGAGACACGGUCCAGACUCCUACGGGAGGCAGCAGUAGGGAAUCUUCCGCAAUGGGCGAAAGCCUGACGGAGCAACGCCGCGUGAGUGAUGAAGGUCUUCGGAUCGUAAAACUCUGUUAUUAGGGAAGAACAAAUGUGUAAGUAACUAUGCACGUCUUGACGGUACCUAAUCAGAAAGCCACGGCUAACUACGUG
rnacentral:rRNA from 1 species